GAUGAACGCUGGCGGCGUGCCUAAUACAUGCAAGUCGAGCGAACGGACGAGAAGCUUGCUUCUCUGAUGUUAGCGGCGGACGGGUGAGUAACACGUGGAUAACCUACCUAUAAGACUGGGAUAACUUCGGGAAACCGGAGCUAAUACCGGAUAAUAUUUUGAACCGCGUGGUUCAAAAGUGAAAGACGGUCUUGCUGUCACCUAUAGAUGGAUCCGCGCUGCAUUAGCUAGUUGGUAAGGUAACGGCUUACCAAGGCAACGAUGCAUAGCCGACCUGAGAGGGUGAUCGGCCACACUGGAACUGAGACACGGUCCAGACUCCUACGGGAGGCAGCAGUAGGGAAUCUUCCGCAAUGGGCGAAAGCCUGACGGAGCAACGCCGCGUGAGUGAUGAAGGUCUUCGGAUCGUAAAACUCUGUUAUUAGGGAAGAACAUAUGUGUAAGUAACUGUGCACAUCUUGACGGUACCUAAUCAGAAAGCCACGGCUAACUACGUG
rnacentral:rRNA from 1 species